rnacentral:rRNA from 1 species
GAUGAACGCUGGCGGCGUGCCUAAUACAUGCAAGUCGAGCGAACAGACGAGGAGCUUGCUCCUCUGACGUUAGCGGCGGACGGGUGAGUAACACGUGGAUAACCUACCUAUAAGACUGGGAUAACUUCGGGAAACCGGAGCUAAUACCGGAUAAUAUAUUGAACCGCAUGGUUCAAUAGUGAAAGACGGUUUUGCUGUCACUUAUAGAUGGAUCCGCGCCGCAUUAGCUAGUUGGUAAGGUAACGGCUUACCAAGGCGACGAUGCGUAGCCGACCUGAGAGGGUGCUCGGCCACACUGGAACUGAGACACGGUCCCAACUCCUACGGGAGGCCGCAGUAGGGAAUCUUCCGCAAUGAGCGAAAGCCUGACGGAGCAACGCCGCGUGAGUGAUGAAGGUCUUCGGCUCGUAAAACUCUGUUAUUAGGGAAGAACAAAUGUGUAAGUAACUAUGCACGUCGUGACGGUACCUAAUCAGAAAGCCACGGCUAACUACGUG